UACUGAACAUCUAAUGGAGCAGAAUCACGAGCUUGAGAAUGAACUAUGCCUAUUUUUCUCAGCUGUAAGCUCAUCAGAAAGAGUGAGAGGUAUUUUUUUUCCUUCUCCCAACAGAGGGACCAGGUUCUGUGUUCUGGAUAUCCGGACUUCUGUCUCAGGGGAGCAUUAGAUGCCUUUGUUUUCAGUCAUCUAGGAGACAGGACUCAACCCAACUGGGGGCUGGUCACCUGGAGGACAGAGAAUGAUCAGGUAUUGCUGUGCGUGACUCUGACAGCCCAGGCAAGUGAGCUCCACUACUGAGCCUGGCAUGCAAGGAGGGGUGCACAGGGCAUUAACUGCCUGCCAGCACCCGGACCGGUUGGUCUGGACUCAUGCAGCUAGCGAGGCUCACUUCAGAUGGAACUGCAGUCCCGGGCAGACAGCUGGGGACAAUAGCCACACGUACAGUUGAUCCUGGAACAACACAGGAUCCAAUCAAAGGGGCCACAUAGUAUUUAAUCAGCCUCUCCAGUCUCCUCCAGUCUAUGACAGCGUUUCUAUCUUCCCUAGUUUUUCAUGACCUUGACUGUCCUAAGGAGUAGUGGCCAACUAUCCUGUAGAAUGUCUCCCAAACUGAGUUUGUCAGAUAUUUUUCUCAUGCUUGGACUGGGGUUGUGGGACCUGGGGAAAAAAAUCCCACAAGGGUGAAGUGCUCUUCUAAUCACAUCCUGUCAUUGGAGGGUUUAUGACAUCACUGAUCAUGUCAGCCUUCAUCGCUCAGUGGACGUGAUGUCUGCCAGCUUUCACCGCUGUCAAGUUACGAAUCCCAGUUCUCUAGUCUCUUCUUCUAAAACCACCCAGCCCUUUUUUUAUUUGCAAUAGAAAAAUAAAAAAAU